AAGUCCCGCAACGAGCGCAACCCUGCAUCAGUUGCCAUCGGGUAAUGCCGGGCACUCUGGAAGGACUGCCAUCGACAAGGAUGGAGGAAGGUGGGGAUGACGUCAAGUCAUCAUGGCCCUUAUGUCCAGGGCGACACACGUGCUACAAUGGCCGGCACAACGGGAAGCGAGUUCGCGAGGACAAGCGGAUCCCUUAAAAGCCGGUCGCAGUUCGGAUUGAAGUCUGCAACUCGACUUCAUGAAGCUGGAAUCGCUAGUAAUCGUGGGUCAGCCAAGCCGCGGUGAAUACGUUCCCGGGCCUU
rnacentral:rRNA from 1 species